CCUACGGGGGGCAGCAGUGGGGAAUAUUGGACAAUGGACGCAAGUCUGACCCAGCAACGCCGCGUGAAGGAAGAAGGCUUUCGGGUUGUAAACUUCUGUUAAGGGGGAAGAGCAGAAGACGGUACCCCUUGAAUAAACCACGGCUAACUACGUGCCAGCAGCCGCGGUAAUACGUAGGUGGCAAGCGUUGUCCUGAUUUGCUGGGUGUAAAGGGCGGGCAGCCGGAGAGGCAAGUCAGAUGUGAAAGCCGCGGGCUCAACUCGCGAACUGCAUUUGAAACUGCUUUCCUUGAGUAUCGGAGAGGUAAUCGGAAUUCCUUGUGUAGCGGUGGAAUGCGUAGAUAUUAGGAAGAACACCAGUGGCGAAGGCGGAUUUCUGGACGACAACUGACGGUGAGGCGCGAAAGCGUGGGGAGCAAACAGGAUUAGAUACCCGAGUAGUC
rnacentral:rRNA from 1 species